GAGCAGCCUUGUCAGUUAAUCUAAGCUCCCUGUUCCCUUGGGGAGAUCUAAAGGUGGUAUAUUAUCCAGCUGCUUCUAGGAGGUCUCCUGUGAGCUUUGUGUCUGGGUGAAGAGCUACAGCUCCCCCCACACCAUGUACCACAAGCCUGCUGGAAAGGCCUCUCUGCACAGGUCAGUCCUGCAUCCCACGUGGCCGCCCGUGAGCCCCGGGGAGUCAGGCUGACGUCAGAGUUCCGGGAGGGCCGCUGCUGUGUGCACCGGGAACACCCCCACAGGCGUAUGGUGUCAGCAGGGGGUGAGUUUCAGAUCAGCCUGUCUCUGGAUUACAACAAGUGGCUGUAAGGAGCUCCUCUCUUCUAAACCUAGCAUUUAUUUUAAAAAACAAACUACUACUUUUAUACAUUUCUCUUAUGCCCCGUUCACGCAUUCCAUUCAGAGGACUAUUUCGUAGACCAUUUGCCCAGUCAGCCUUGAUAUUAAAGGUGAAAUUUUAGAGACUAUAAUGCUAGUACAAAGGAGAAACAACAGACGAUAAAUUCUAGCAUCUGAGCUCACGUGGCAUAAAUUCAGCCCAGAUACUCUUUUAACCAGCAGUGAGCUUGGGAUGAAGACCAGCUGUGCACGUUCAUUCUGAGUGACGUGCUGCUGAAGAACCUUUCAGAGACGAAAGGAAACGAGUGGCUUUUAGCUCUUCGUGUCCUUAGACCGAAAUCUUCCUCCUGUGUUUUCCACAAAUACUUAUAGAAUCCUAUUAAAGUUUAUUCAUCCUUUUGAAAAGCACUGAGGAACGUUAGGAAACUACUUUUUAGCUGGUAUGGAAAAGUUAAAACCACAUUUUUACAUCAUGUUUCGUAGGCGAAAACUGCUUUCAGGCAUUGCGGUCAUACAGGUGUGGUCAUCCACGUGUUCAUUGUUUUAUGGGAGAUGAUCGUCAUGUGACAGACCAAGUUGCCCAGUUUGGGGUAGGGGAGGUGGUCUGUGUAGAGCUGUUCUGCCCUCAGCGUGUGGGGCAGGCGGUUAGGUUUUACUCCUGGCUCUCUGCCAAGUGCAAUUACAAGACAUGUCAUUGGUGAAUGUUUUCUACACCGUUUUAAGGGAGCAAUGAGCAAUAACUGCACCUGACACCAAAGAGAGAGAGAGAUGGACAGAGAAGAAGAGAGAACAGAGUUCUUCAUAUCGAAGUUUUUCUGGAACGUCAGACCUGGCCAUUGUAGUCACUGAAAUAGCCCUCGAGACAGUGGAAAGGGGGGAAUCAAGCCCUCCUGCCCCGUGCCAGGUUCUUCUCGUCUGCUCUCGGGAAAGCAGCUUUGGGAAUUCAUUUUCCAAAUGAGGGCGUGAGGGAGUUGCCUCUGAAUUAACAAUAUGUGUCAAAGAAUGGACUUUGAUAUCACUUGGAGGGUGGACACACUUUUGAUUCUUUCAUAUCUUGCUUUUUACAGGUAGGUGAUGUCACAACUUGACAAGUGGCUUUUGAAUAGGUUAGGAUGACUCACCUUGGACUUUGAAGUCCACCUCGUUCGUGAGGCACUGAAGGAAGUUCCAUUCUUGCCUUCGAGCUUAAUGUGGAAAAACAUACAUACAACUUAGCAUUGUAACCUUUUUCAAGUGUGUAAUUCAGUGUCAUUAAGUACAGCCACAUUGUCCCACGAUCCAAUUCUUUAACUUCUUCAUCCUCCCAAACUGAAAACCUACACCUGUUCAGCAGUAGCUCACCAUUCCCCCUCUCCCUUCAGUCCCUGGCCGCCACCAGCCGACUUUCUGCCUGUGGGUUCGGCUGCAGUAGGUACCACACGUAACUGGGAUCACAGAGUAUUUGUCCCCUGUCACUGGUUGACUUACUAUAAUGUCCUCAAGGUUCAUCCAUGUUGUAGCAUUAUGUGAGAAUUCCCUUCCUUCUAAAGGCUGAAUAAUAUUCCAUUCUAUGUGUGUAGUACAUUCUAUGUAUCCAUUCAUCCAUCGAUGGACAUUUGGGUAGCUUCCACCUCCUGGCUGUUGUGAACAGUACGGCUGUGAACACGAGUGUACAGACACCCUUUCCUUGCUUUCAUAUUUGGGUACAUACUCAGAAGUGGAAUUACUGAAUUAUGUUCAUUCUGAAUGUAAGUGA